rnacentral:rRNA from 1 species
GAUCAUGGCUCAGGAUGAACGCUAGCGGCAGGCUUAACACAUGCAAGUCGAGGGGCAGCAUGAAAGUAGCAAUACUUUUGAUGGCGACCGGCGGACGGGUGCGUAACGCGUAUGCAACCUACCCUUUACAGGGGGAUAACACUGAGAAAUCGGUACUAAUACCCCAUAAUAUUCCGGGAGGCAUCUUUGGAGUUGAAAAGCUUUUGGUGGUAAAGGAUGGGCAUGCGUUGUGUUAGCUAGGUUGGUAAGGUAACGG